CGAUGGGGACUUUGCAAUGGGUCGACUAUAAACCCCGCCAGGUCCGGAAGGAAGCAACGGUAGUAGUUACCCCAUGUGCCGAAGCAACCCUGUCGGGC
rnacentral:SRP_RNA from 1 species